rnacentral:rRNA from 1 species
GACGAACGCUGGCGGCGUGCUUAACACAUGCAAGUCGAACGGAAAGGCCCUGCUUUUGUGGGGUGCUCGAGUGGCGAACGGGUGAGUAAAACGCGAGUAACCUGCCCUUGUCUUAGGGAUAACUUCAGGAAACUGGGGCGAAUACCGGAUAGGAGCUCUUGCUGCACGGUGGGGGAUGGAAAGUUUCGGCGGUUGGGGCUGGACUCGCGGCUUAUCAGCUUGUUGGUGGAGUAGUGGCGUACCAAGGCUUUGACGGGUAGCCGGCCUGAGAGCGUGGCCAGCCACAUUGGGACUGAGAUACGGACCAGACUCCUACGGGAGGCAGCAGUCGGGAAUAUUGCACAAUGGGGGGGAGCCUGAUGCAGAAGCCCCGCGUGCGGAAUGCCGGCUUACGGGUUGUAAACCGCUUUCGCAUGUGACGAAGCGGGAGUGACGGUAACGGGUAAAGAAGCACCGGCUAACUACGUG